rnacentral:lncRNA from 10 species
AUGGACUCUCUGAGUGUACAGAACAGGUCUCAUACUUGUCCCAUCGACGGGUGGGGAAUCUGGGGUAUGUAUCCACCAGCUCCCUGCCCUUCCUUCAAGGGCUGCUCCUGGGGUGUGAAUCCCCCUGGCAUUCCAUGUGGGCCAGAUAGUUCCCUCAUGAAGAGAUGCAGAAGCCGGAGGCAUUCGUGCCAGGACAGGAGGCAGCAGCAGCCUGUUACGGGCUGUUCUCACUUGACUCCAGGAGAGAGGAGAUGUAUGCAGGCUUUGUGCCUGGGCCCGAGACUCUGCUGCUAUGACUCCCUGGACUCAUCGAGUUUGCUCUUGCCGUACCUCCCCUCGCCCAGUCCCCCAGUAGCUCUGGGCCCCUGGUCCAGGGGAGAAGGAGAAAGCAGGACAGGUAGGGGGUCUCAUUUGAAGGUCUCUUCUCUGGUGCCUUGUGGUUUUCAAGUAUGACUCACCCCUUUCAUACCAUUUCCCCCAGCACUGGGAAUGAUGCAGGACUGUCGUGCAUGGUUACAUGGUUCAUGUGCCGGGCCUCAGCCAAGGGUGUGGUGGGGACUGAAACCCAGCCCGCGCCGGGCACUUUUUGCUUAGCACAAAGACACCAUCUGCCAAGAGGCUGUGUCUGCUCAGAGGGGCCUGUCUUGUUUAAUUCUCACAAAAGCUUUGCCUGGGUUCUCAGUGGCCCGGAAUUCUAUGUUGGCUUUGCAGGAGCCCAGAGCUGGCAGCUCAGCCCUCAGACCCUGGCAUUCAGGGCAGAGAACGGGUGGUGAUGGAUGUACAGGAGGGAGAAGCAAACCCACACCCAACUCACAGUCACAUCCCCAGAAGCCACUGAUUCUGCAAAUCUCUCUGUAGGAGCUGUCCAGGUUCUCCCGGAGACAGGCAGAGGAGGCGGGGCCCCAGGGCUCGCUGCCCACCUCAAAGCCCUUGGCCCAGUUCCCUGUGCAGACUUCUGGCACACAGGCCCGCAUCCCAAGCUGAGCUCCCUGGGGCCAACCACAGAAGGUCCAAGUGCUCUGCGUUCCUGCCUAUGUUUUUAAUUACCCCAUUUACUUCCCCAUUCAUCUUUCCCUUCCUAGCCCUUUCUGUACAGCCCCCAGACUAAUGUGCCUCAAAUCCUGAUCUCACUGAAAUUCCUUCCCUGUCUCAGAGACUUCCAUGGCUCCAUUCUGUCCAGGCUCGGCAUUUAGUGUUCAUACACACACCCCUCUCCAAGGGCGAUGGCUGUUCCUCUCUCUCAAGAGCCCAGCCCUUGAGAACCUCCUAGGAAGUGGGUGAGCCUUCUCCAUGGCCCCUUCUCUUCUCUUCUCUCCCCUGAUUCCUCCUGGGCUCCCUGUCAUCUCCUGUCACCCAGGCUGGAGGGUAGUGGUGCGAUCUUGGCUCACUGCAACCUCCACCUCCUGGGUUCAAGCGAUUCUCCUGCCUCAGCCUCCCGACUGGCUGGAAUUACAAGCAUGCGCCACCACGCCCGGCUAAUUUUCGUAUUUCUAGUACAGACAGGGUUUCACCAUGUUGGCCAGGCUGGUCUUGAACCCCUGACCUCAAGUGAUUCAUCUGCCUCAGCCUCCCAAAGUGCUGGGAUUAGAGACAUGAGCCAUCGUGCCUGGCCCAUAUUGAAACAAUAUAUUAUGAAUAUAUUUGGCUAAACACAUUUUUUUCACUUUUUUUUUUAUUGUGGCUAUUAAAAUUUUAAAAUAAUUGUGGUUCACUCACAUUCUGUUUCUAUUGAACACUGCUGGUCUUGGGAGUAGAAAACCACAGCAGAGGUCCAUGGAUGGUUUUUCACAGUGAAACAGGUCAUGUUUAUGAAUCAGGUUGAGAAAAUGGAGGAGGCCUCUGAUUCCAGCCCC